AACGUACGCUGGCGGCACGCCUAACACAUGCAAGUCGAACGCAGUAGCAAUACUGAGUGGCAGACGGGUGAGUAACAUGUGGGAAUCUGCCUUGUGGUUCAGGACAACAUUGGGAAACCGAUGCUAAUACUGGAUAAGUCCUUACGGGGAAAGUUUUAAUGCCAUAAGAUGAGCCCGCAUUUGAUUAGUUAGUUGGUGAGGUAAUGGCUCGCCAAGACAAUGAUCAAUAGCUGAUCUGAGAGGAUGAUCAGCCACACUGGGACUGAGACACGGCCCAGACUCCUACGGGAGGCAGCAGUGGGGAAUCUUGCACAAUGGAGGAAACUCUGAUGCAGCGAUGCCGCGUGAGUGAAGAAGGCCUUUGGGUUGUAAAGCUCUUUUGUAGGGGAAGAUAAUGACUGUACCCUAAGAAUAAGGUCCGGCUAACUUCGUGCCAGCCGCCGCGGUAA
rnacentral:rRNA from 1 species